GGAGAUUUAGCUCAACAGCAUAAGCACCUGCCUUACAAGCAGGCAGCCGUGAGUUCAAUCCCCG
rnacentral:tRNA from 1 species